UACGGAGGGUGCAAGCGUUAUCCGGAUUCACUGGGUUUAAAGGGCGCGUAGGCGGGUUCGCAAGUCUGUGGUGAAAGCCUCCAGCUUAACUGGAGAAGUGCCAUGGAUACUGCGCAUCUUGAGGAGGGUAGGGGCGUCUGGAACGGUCGGUGGAGCGGUGAAAUGCGUUGAUAUCGACCGGAACUCCGGUGGCGAAGGCGAGGCGCUGGACCCUUUCUGACGCUGAGGCGCGAAAGCCAGGGGAGCAAACGGGG
rnacentral:rRNA from 1 species